GAUGAACGCUAGCGGCAGGCCUAACACAUGCAAGUCGAGGGGUAGAAGGAGCUUGCUCCUUUGAGACCGGCGCACGGGUGCGUAACGCGUAUGCAAUCUACCUUGUACAGGGGAAUAGCCCAGAGAAAUUUGGAUUAAUGCCCCAUAGUAUAUAACCUUCGCAUGUUGGUUAUAUUAAAGUUCCAACGGUACAAGAUGAGCAUGCGUCCCAUUAGUUAGUUGGUAAGGUAACGGCUUACCAAGACGAUGAUGGGUAGGGGUCCUGAGAGGGAGAUCCCCCACACUGGUACUGAGACACGGACCAGACUCCUACGGGAGGCAGCAGUGAGGAAUAUUGGUCAAUGGUCGCAAGACUGAACCAGCCAUGCCGCGUGCAGGAAGACGGUCCUAUGGAUUGUAAACUGCUUUUAGACAGGAAGAAACCCUCCCACGUGUGGGAGCUUGACGGUACUGUAGGAAUAAGGAUCGGCUAACUCCGUG
rnacentral:rRNA from 1 species